CGAACCGUGCAAACGUUAUUCGGAAUCACUGGGCUUAAAGGGCGCGUAGGCGGGCUGGCCAGUCUGUGGUGAAAUCCCCCGGCUUAACCGGGGAACUGCCGUGGAUACUGCCAGUCUCGAGGAGGGUAGGGGCAUCUGGAACAGCCGGUGGAGCGGUGAAAUGCGUUGAUAUCGGCUGGAACUCCGGUGGCGAAGGCGAGAUGCUGGACCCUUUCUGACGCUGAGGCGCGAAAGCCAGGGGAGCGAACGGGAUUAGAUACCCCGGUAGUCCUGGCCCUAAACGAUGAGAACUGGAUAGCGAUCCUGACAUAGGACCGCUGUCGGAGCAAAAGUGUUAAGUUCUCCGCCUGGGGAGUAUGGUCGCAAGGCUG
rnacentral:rRNA from 1 species